rnacentral:rRNA from 1 species
UACGUAGGGGGCAAGCGUUGUCCGGAAUCAUUGGGCGUAAAGAGCGUGUAGGCGGCCCGGUAAGUCCGCUGUGAAAGUCCAGGGCUCAACCCUGGGAUGCCGGUGGAUACUGUCGGGCUAGAGUACGGAAGAGGCAAGUGGAAUUCCUGGUGUAGCGGUGGAAUGCGCAGAUAUCAGGAGGAACACCUAUAGCGAAGGCAGCUUGCUGGGACGUUACUGACGCUAAGGCGCGAAAGCGUGGGGAGCAAACAGG